rnacentral:rRNA from 1 species
UACGGGGGGAGCAAGCGUUGUUCGGAUUUACUGGGCGUAAAGGGCGCGUAGGCGGUCAGCACAAGUCAGUUGUGAAAUCUCCGGGCUUAACUCGGAAAGGUCAACUGAUACUGUGCGACUAGAGUGCAGAAGGGGCAACUGGAAUUCUCGGUGCAGCGGUGAAAUGCGUAGAUAUCGAGAGGAACACCUGCGGCGAAGGCGGGUUGCUGGGCUGACACUGACGCUGAUGCGCGAAAGCCAGGGAGCGAACGGG